AUACGGAGGAUGCGAGCGUUAUCCGGAUUUAUUGGGUUUAAAGGGUGCGUAGGUGGUAAUUUAAGUCAGCGGUGAAAGUUUGUGGCUCAACCAUAAAAUUGUCGUUGAAACUGGGUUACUUGAGUGUGUUUGAGGUAGGCGGAAUGCGUGGUGUAGCGGUUAAAUGCAUAGAUAUCACGCAGAACUCCAAUUGCGAAGGCAGCUUACUAAACCAUAACUGACACUGAAGCACGAAAGCGUGGGUAUCAAACAGGAUUAGAUACCCUGGUAGUCCACGCAGUAAACGAUGAUUACUAGGAGUUUGCGAUACACGGUAAGCUCUACAGCGAAAGCGUUAAGUAAUCCACCUGGGGAGUACGCCGGCAACGGUGAAACUCAAAUGAAUUGACGGGG
rnacentral:rRNA from 1 species